rnacentral:rRNA from 1 species
UACGUAGGGGUGCGAGCGUUGUCCGGAAUUACUGGGCGUAAAGAGCUCGUAGGUGGUUUGUCGCGUUGUCCCGUGAAAACUCACAACUCAAUUGUGGGCGUGCGGGCGAUACGGGCAGACUGGAGUACUGCAGGGGGAGACUGGAAUUCCUGGUGUAGCGGUGGAAUGCGCAGAUAUCAGGAGGAACACCGGUGGCGAAGGCGGUUCUCUGGGCAUGGACCUGACGCUGAGGAGCGAAAGCAUGGGGAGCGAACAGG